GCAGUAGCUCAGUGGUAGAGCACCUGCCUUGCAUGCAGCCGGUCUCAGGUUCAAUCCCCAAUGGCAUCC